rnacentral:lncRNA from 1 species
UUUACAUUAACUACAAGAAAUUAAAAUACUUAUGAAUAAACUAAGAAAGUGAAAUAUGUCUAACAAAAAUUAUAAAACCAAAUAACUGGGAAGAAACUUAACUAAUAAAGUGAAAAAGAUCUACAGUAAAAAUUACAAAACACUGAAGAAAGAAAUCAAAGAAGACUCUACGAAGAGGAAAGACUUCCCAUGUUCAUGGAUAAGGAGAAAUAAUAUUAUUAAAUGUCUAUACAAAAGCUAUCUAUAGAUUCAAAAUAAUCCUGAUCAAAAUAACAUUUAAUGUUCAUCACAGAGAUAGUAAAGCAAUCCUAAGAAGGAACACAAAAUACCAGAGUAGCUAAAGCAAUCUUGAACAAAAAAAGCAAAGCUGGACUCAUCACAAUACCUCAUUUUAAAACAUACUACAGAGCUUUGGUAACAAAAAAAACAUGAGGUUGACAUAAAAACAGACACAUACGCCAAUAGAAGAACAUUAUGAGAAGGAGCGGCGCGUCACAUCCGGUAGAGUUAGAGCCCGAGCAGAGGUGGUGUGGAGCGCUUCGACUCUGAGCGGCUGAGCAACCCGAUGGUCCUGCAGGCUGCGGCGAAGCCUCUAUAGCGAAGGCAAGAGAGCUUGGCAGCUUCGAUUGAAGCCGGCGAGCCGAGCGGCGACGUCAAGCCAGGAGUCAUAAGCGACAGCAGCGAGCAGAACUACGGAGAACGGGAAUCCCGUUUUGCUUCCAGAAGUGGAAGUGCUCACGGAUCGGGGAAAUCUGCAAGGCAUACCCCUUGCAAGGCCUCGUUCCAAGGAAGAUUCCAGACAAUAAGCUCUGCAGAACCCUAAUGCUGGACAGUCAAGCAGGCCAUAUCAUCCUCCCAGAAGCCACACUUUUGAAAAAAGAAAAACAGAAAAAGCCAAGUGGGUUCUUUGGAGGAGAAUAAAAAGUUAAAAGGUUG